rnacentral:tRNA from 1 species
ACUUUCAAAGGAUAGUAGAACUCCAUUAACCUUAGGAGUUAAAAACACUUGGUGCAACUCCAAGUGAAAGUA